rnacentral:pre_miRNA from 1 species
ACAACGCGCGGAUCGUCGGUCUAUCGAGCAAUUUCAGCCGCUCGGUGGAAGAUCUUACCUUUGUUUU